rnacentral:rRNA from 1 species
GAUGAACGCUGGCGGCGUGCCUAAUACAUGCAAGUCGAGCGAAUGGAUUAAGAGCUUGCUCUUAUGAAGUUAGCGGCGGACGGGUGAGUAACACGUGGGUAACCUGCCCAUAAGACUGGGAUAACUCCGGGAAACCGGGGCUAAUACCGGAUAACAUUUUGAACCGCAUGGUUCGAAAUUGAAAGGCGGCUUCGGCUGUCACUUAUGGAUGGACCCGCGUCGCAUUAGCUAGUUGGUGAGGUAACGGCUCACCAAGGCAACGAUGCGUAGCCGACCUGAGAGGGUGAUCGGCCACACUGGGACUGAGACACGGCCCAGACUGCUACGGGAGGCAGCAGUAGGGAAUCUUCCGCAAUGGACGAAAGUCUGACGGAGCAACGCCGCGUGAGUGAUGAAGGCUUUCGGGUCGUAAAACUCUGUUGUUAGGGAAGAACAAGUGCUAGUUGAAUAAGCUGGCACCUUGACGGUACCUAACCAGAAAGCCACGGCUAACUACGAGCCAGCCGCCGCGGUAA